GAUGAACGCUAGCUACAGGCUUAACACAUGCAAGUCGAGGGGAAACGGCAUCGAAAGCUUGCUUUUGAUGGGCGUCGACCGGCGCACGGGUGAGUAACGCGUAUCCAACCUGCCCAUCACUUGGGAAUAACCUUGCGAAAGUAAGACUAAUGCCCAAUGACAUCCCACGAAGGCAUCCGAAUGGGAUUAAAGAUUUAUCGGUGAUGGAUGGGGAUGCGUCUGAUUAGCUUGUUGGCGGGGUGACGGCCCACCAAGGCAACGAUCAGUAGGGGUUCUGAGAGGAAGGUCCCCCACAUUGGAACUGAGACACGGUCCAAACGCCUACGGGAGGCAGCAGUGAGGAAGAUUGGUCAAUGGGCGAGAGCCUGAACCAGCCAAGUAGCGUGCAGGAUGACGGCCCUAUGGGUUGUAAACUGCUUUUAUAAGGGAAUAAAGUGGGUCACGUGUGACUUUUUGCAUGUACCUUAUGAAUAAGGACCGGCUAAUUCCGUG
rnacentral:rRNA from 1 species